rnacentral:rRNA from 1 species
CCUCUUCCCAUUCCGAACAGAGAAGUUAAGCCCGCCAGAGCCGAUGGUACUGCAGUAAAAUGUGGGAGAGUAGGUCGGUGCCAAAU